CCUACGGGAGGCAGCAGUGGGGGAUAUUGCACAAUGGGGGAAACCCUGAUGCAGCGACGCCGCGUGGGUGAAGAAGCGCCUCGGCGCGUAAAGCCCUGUCAGCAGGGAAGAAAAUGACGGUACCUGAAGGAGAAGCCACGGCUAACUACGUGCCAGCAGCCGCGGUAAUACGUAGGGGGCAAGCGUUAGACGGAUGUACUGGGUGGAAAGGGGGCGCAGACGGCGUUGCAAGCCAGGAGUGAAGGCCCGGGGCCCAACCCCGGGACUGCUCUUGGCACUGGGUGGCUAGAGUGAAGGAGGGGCAGGCGGAAUUCCUGGUGUAGCGGUGAAAUGCGUAGAUAUCAGGAGGAACACCGGUGGCGAAGGCGGCCUGCUGGACUGCAACUGACGUUGAGGCCCGAAAGCGUGGGGAGCAAACAGGAUUAGAUACCCCUGUAGUC
rnacentral:rRNA from 1 species